rnacentral:rRNA from 1 species
AUUGAACGCUGGCGGCAGGCUUAACACAUGCAAGUCGAGCGGAGAUGAGGUGCUUGCACCUUAUCUUAGCGGCGGACGGGUGAGUAAUGCUUAGGAAUCUGCCAUUUAGUGGGGGACAACAUUCCGAAAGGAAUGCUAAUACCGCAUACGUCCUACGGGAGAAAGCAGGGGAUCUUCGGACCUUGCGCUAAAUGAUGAGCCUAAGUCGGAUUAGCUAGUUGGUGGGGUAAAGGCCUACCAAGGCGACGAUCUGUAGCGGGUCUGAGAGGAUGAUCCGCCACACUGGGACUGAGACACGGCCCAGACUCCUACGGGAGGCAGCAGUGGGGAAUAUUGGACAAUGGGCGGAAGCCUGAUCCAGCCAUGCCGCGUGUGUGAAGAAGGCCUUUUGGUUGUAAAGCACUUUAAGCGAGGAGGAGGCUACUAGUACUAAUACUACUGGAUAGCGGACGUUACUCGCAGAAUAAGCACCGGCUAACUCUGUGCCAGCAGCCGCCGUAA